rnacentral:rRNA from 1 species
UACGUAGGGGGCUAGCGUUGUCCGGAAUCAUUGGGCGUAAAGCGCGUGUAGGCGGUCCGGUAAGUCCGCUGUGAAAGUCGAGGGCUCAACCCUCGAAUGCCGGUGGAUACUGUCGGGCUAGAGUACGGAAGAGGCGAGUGGAAUUCCUGGUGUAGCGGUGAAAUGCGCAGAUAUCGGGAGGAACACCAACGGCGAAGGCAGCUUGCUGGGACGGUACUGACGCUGAGACGCGAAAGCGUGGGGAGCGAACAGG